AUGUCCCCUGGAAAAAGUGUCCGGCCCUAUUGUAUUCUGCUAUAAUAAUAAUAUUUUUAUGGUCCUAUUAUCUGGUCUAUCGAGACCAUGACUAACAAUGCAAUAGCUCAGAGAUUGAAGUACAUAAUAGAAUCCUUUGAUUCCCGGACAUUCUAUCCUAGGACAUUUUAAACUUCUACACCGGUCCAGUGUAAUCGUUAUUGUAGUCCUCUGAAGAUAUCAGCCCGAGUCAGCUUGCAAGCACAAGGAAAAUAGUGGAAGAGUACCCUCCCCUGAUCCCCACCCAUAAACGUGCCCGCCCACGGACCCCAACCACCACCACGCCUUUGGCUGCACAUUGAUUUUUUUACUCUCUCCGCCUCACGUUUGAUUGGAAAUGCCCCCAAGCUCAGGAUGAUAGGCCUACUUUUUCCUAUUCCGCUGGGUGAUUAGUCAACCGAACGUAAUCACGACGCCAACAGAGGUUCUUCGAAUGCAUUGCGAAAGUGACGAAAUCAGCGCCUCCAGUCGCAAGAUUGCGAAAUGCCCGGUUAGCAGAAUUUCUUAAGAGUCGGACCUCAAUUCAUUUGUCGUAAUAUAUCGCUUACCAUCGGGACGAAAUGGAUUCUACCAGUAACAAUAAUGAUACAGGCUGCACCAGCAAGUAGGCCUGAGGCAACUUCUCAACCUGUGAACAAUAGGAAGUCAGUCAAAGCUAAGUGGCGCCACCUGAGCUAUGACAUAAUCAUGAUGGUCAACAGGUAGUGGAGACAAGAUAAAAGCCAUUGCAUAACAUAUUUGCCCACCUCAAGGCCAAACAACUAGUAGAUAAGGUAGGUGUAUGUAAACUUAUGACACUCUGAAAUAUGCAUUGUUCUCAAAUAGAGCUCAUAAAAACAAUGAAAUUAAUGAAACAGAAGUAUGUUUUUUAGUUGAUGACGAGAUGUGAUGAUAGACUUCCUGUAAACUAUAUACUAUUCCCGCGUUCUGUAGUUGCAGAGAAAGAGACAAGGUUAUAUCAUCCUUUGAAUUGUAUGUAAACUUUCGAGCACGACUGUACUCUCUAAUUUUUGCCUUGGCCUCGAGAAAUGAUAGUGUAUUUUCAAAUUCUUUCUUACCAAACCUGAGUGUGUGUUAUUAUUGCACCACCAAUAUCCAAUUUGAUAACCAGUACGCAUGUACCCAAUGGUUUGGUUGUCUAAUUUUCUAAUUGUAAUUUCUAAUUCUAGUGUAAAAGUCAAUAGUUCCCUUUUUUGUCAUGGUAAUGUUGUGGCAUUUUCUAUUCUUGGCUCACAUGGGUGAGCUUAUAUCCUUACGAUUUCAUCUUGUCCAGCAUUGUUGGCUUUGACUUUGUCUGUCGUUAAGCACUUUUAUCAUAUACCCUAAGUGCAGUGAUCUGGCAGACGUAUAUGAUAAAUAGAAAACUGCACGAGUGUCUGAUCCGAGUAUCCAGAUUGCACUCGAUGAUUUUCUACGCAGGGUGAGAGCUUUUCAAGCCGUAGAAAAUCAUCUCGUGCAAUCUGGAUACUCGGAUCAGACACUCGUGCGGUUUUCUUAUUGUACAUGUACAUGUAAGAAGCACUAUCAAUGGAAACACGUACCACUUUUUUCAGAAAAGAAAAGCCCAGCAAGGGAAAAGCAAGCAAGGCGAAGGGAGACUUAUUGCGCAGCUGAGAGAAUAGACAACUACGACCCCAAAAACAACACGUAUUACAUAAAGUGGCAAGGAUAUGAUGCGUCCCACAACUCAUGGGUGAAAGCGGAAGACGUAACUUCUCCUCUCAUCUCUUCUUACAAAGAAAAAUUAGGUUCAGAAACGCACAAGAAGUGAUGCACCUCAUGUCUUAGCCCUUCGAUUGUUGAAAAAAUUUAUGUGAAUUUGUGCAAAUCCUCCCACCUGUGUUUUUUUGUUCAGUGGAAUUCACGUAUUUCGGUAUUCCUUCUUCACCUCCACGCAUUAUUCAUUCUGACAUAAACUCACAUGAUCACUUUUGAUGAAAGAUUACAUAAUGGAUAAUAUUGAAUUGGCACAAAUAUAGUAACAAUGUAAACUUAUCAUAUCUUUCAAAGGUCUCAUUAAAAGUAAAUGUAAGUUACAUGUACAUGUACUGUGGAAUUAUUGUUUUUUCAGACAAUCUGUGGCUGUUGUAUACAUGUAUCAUUUAAUAAACGUGGCGUUUUUCAUAUUAUUAGAUACAUAUAGUCUUGCCUUUAU